ACCAGACUCCUACGGGAGGCAGCAGUGGGGAAUAUUGCACAAUGGGGGGAACCCUGAUGCAGCGACGCCGCGUGGGUGAAGAAGUCAUUCGUGACGUAAAGCCCUAUCAGCAGGGAAGAAAAUGACGGUGCCUGACUAAGAAGCCCCGGCUAACUACGUGCCAGCAGCCGCGGUAAUACGUAGGGGGCAAGCGUUAUCCGGAAUUACUGGGUGUAAAGGGAGCGUAGACGGCAAUGCAAGUCCGGAGUGGAAUGCGGCAGCUCAACUGCCGAACUGCUCUGGAAACUGUAUGGCUUGAGUGCAGGAGGGGUAAGCGGAAUUCCUGGUGUAGCGGUGAAAUGCGUAGAUAUCAGGAGGAACACCGGUGGCGAAGGCGGCCUGCUGGACUGCGACUGACGUUGAGGCCCGAAAGCGUGGGGAGCAAACAGGAUUAGAUACCCCCGUA
rnacentral:rRNA from 1 species